AGGUGCAUUGGUAGGAGAGCGUUCUAAGGGCGUUGAAGGCAGAUCGUGAGGACUGCUGGAGCGCUUAGAAGUGAGAAUGCCGGUAUGAGUAGCGAAAGACAGGUGAGAAUCCUGUCCACCGAAUGACUAAGGUUUCCUGGGGAAGGCUCGUCCGCCCAGGGUUAGUCGGGACCUAAGCCGAGGCCGACAGGCGUAGGCGAUGGACAACAGGUUGAUAUUCCUGUACCCGUUGUUUUUGUUUGAGCAAUGGAGGGACGCAGGAGGCUAAGAAGUGCAGACUGAUGGAUAUGUCUGUUCAAGCAGUAAGUCUUGGUAGGAGUCAAAUGCUUCUACCUAUACGGACAAGCUGUGAUGAGGAGGGAAAUAAUAGUACCGAAGCUUCUGAUGUCACACUGCCAAGAAAAGCUUCUAGUGAGAAAACAACGGCCCGUACCGCAAACCGACACAGGUAGUCGAGGA
rnacentral:rRNA from 1 species